CAGUCGCCGCGGUAAUACAGAGGGUGCAAGCGUUAAUCGGAAUUACUGGGCGUAAAGCGCGCGUAGGUGGUUCGCCAAGUUGGAUGUGAAAUCCCUGGGCUCAACCUGGGAACUGCAUCCAAAACUGGCGAGCUAGAGUAUGGUAGAGGGUGGUGGAAUUUCCUGUGUAGCGGUGAAAUGCGUAGAUAUAGGAAGGAACAUCAGUGGCGAAGGCGACCACCUGGACUGAUACUGACACUGAGGUGCGAAAGCGUGGGGAGCAAACAGGAUUAGAUACCCGAGUAGUCCCUGUCUCUUAUAC
rnacentral:rRNA from 1 species